rnacentral:rRNA from 1 species
AGUCAAUAGAUACCCAGGUAGUCCACGCCGUAAACGAUGAGUACUAGAUGUAGGAGGUAUCGACUCCUUCUGUGCCGCAGUUAACACAAUAAGUACUCCGCCUGGGAAGUACGGUCGCAAGAUUAAAACUCAAAGGAAUUGACGGGGGCCCGCACAAGCAGCGGAGCAUGUGGUUUAAUUCGAAGCAACGCGAAGAACCUUACCUAGACUUGACAUCCCCUGAAUAACGUAGAGAUACGCGAAGCCCUUCGGGGCAGGGAGACAGGUGGUGCAUGGUUGUCGUCAGCUCGUGUCGUGAGAUGUUGGGUUAAGUCCCGCAACGAGCGCAACCCUUAUCAUUAGUUGCUACCAUUUAGUUGAGCACUCUAGUGAGACUGCCCGGGUUAACCGGGGGGUAACGGCGGGGGAGUGACGUCAAAUACAUCAUGCCCCUUACGUCUAGGGCUACACACGUGCUACAAUGGUGAG